ensembl:snRNA U6 U6 spliceosomal RNA
GUGCUCACUUCAGCAGCGCAUAUACUGAAAUUGGACUGAUAAGGAGAAGGUUAGCCUGGCCCCUGUACAAGGUUCACAUGCAAACAUUUUCUGGCUUUAUUGAAGUUU